AAGUAAAAAAAUAACAUUCCAGGAAUGCCAGUAUGUUACUAACUUCUCAAAAAUCACAUCAACUCCCCGAUUAUAUCCUGCAUGGUUGUGUUAACAUCUGUAUCAACACAAAGGAAAAGACCAAAAGAGGAGACAAGGCUGCCCCUUGAAGCAGUAGUGCCAGUUUACAGGCGCUCUAGCCAGACUGCAGGGCUCAUCAACAAGAGCCUUGCUUUUGCAGCGUCAGGCUGAGAUAAGCAAAAAAAAAAAGCCACCAGAAACUAAACCAAACACAGGCUACGUGAUGUCCAACCAACCUCUGGACAGGAACACUGACAUAGCUGUGGUAACUUCUUCCUGCUUAUCCAGAAAAAGCACUUUGAUGAUGAGAAAUUUUCACUUGAGUUGUGAGAGCUAAGAGAAGUUUAGCUUUCACUGCAGCAGAACGCAAGAAAUACUGUGUCACUGCUCUGCAGUAUCAGUGAGGAAGAGAAGAAAACACUUCUUCUUAGAGUGGAUCUUACUGUUGAGUAAUCAACUCAACUUGCUAAAUGAAGUCAUCUGGUUGACACUGCCAGCAAGUGAAAAUGAUAACCACACACACCCAGUCCACAACAAGGCCACUGGGUGGGUAAGGCACAGCACGAAGUGCCACCUCCUCCUCAGAGAGCGAGCAGGACAGCUAUCUUCACCCCCGCUGCCUUCAAGGACAAUGGCCUCUUAGAAGAAAGGGCUGGCAGGAACCAGUGGAAAGAAUAUCUCCUGGCAGAUGGAGGGAGGAGCACCACUGACCAGGGAGCCGGGAGAACCGUUCUGCCAGUGCUGGAGCAGCGACACCUGGGUUCUGCAAGGAGGAUGAGAAGAAAGGCAGAUGCUGGUAUGGUGCCAGGGAGCUACUGGAGAAUUUGUAACAAGGGCAGGAAUGCUCCAGCAAAGACACACACAAAAAAAGAACAGAAUGAACUCCUGAUCAUCACUUCUCCUUCCGUCUCUUCUCAAACAUGAAGAAUGAUAUACCUUGCUACUUUCAGUGCAAGUAGUCUGCAGUUUCUAUGAGACAAUAGUGGACCUGUUUGCUGUGCUCAAUGAUAAGAACUCAGAAUUCCUGUUUGCUGGCUAUAAAGCAUAAAUUAUCAGUACUGCAAUUACCUUCCAAAACCAUGCACAUGAACAACAGCAUGUUCAACAGCACUAACUAUGCAGAAGCCAAUAAAAUAUCCGAUCACUUUUUGAACAUUCAAUGGACUUGAUAGCUUAUGUUUUGCCAUCUGUGCUCAUUGCAAAUCCAGAGGAAAAAAAAAAAAUGAGAGCAUAAAAUUAGCAGAGAGCUUCUAAAGGAGGGCUACAAAGAUGGUGACGGGUCUAGAGGGCAAGAUGCGUGAGAAGAGGUUGAGGUACCUUGGUUUGCUCAGCCCAGAGCAGAGGAGGCUGAGGGGAGGCCUCAUGGCAUCUGC